CUUUUGAAAAUACUGAUCAGGAAGCAAAGGAAAGAAAAAGAGAGGGUGAAGUUCCUUUCCUGAAGAAAGGCAGUGGUUCUAGGCAUGAUUAAAAGAUUCUGAUAUUGCACUGUUGGCCAGAAGCAAAUAUUUGAAGAGGAUUUAAGAUCACCCUGACUUUCUGGGAUUACACACAUAGGAUGAGGGAUUUAUUGUACCUUCCUUUGAAUCAUCUGGGCCACUGGCGGAGACAGGAUACUGAUUUAGGAUGGACAACUAGUCUAAUCAGAAGAAUGGCAGAUGCUCGCUGGGGAAAAAAUAGCAGCCACACAUUCAAUCUCAGUUCUUUGUUCCAUCAAUGAUUCUUUAAAAAUGAUGAAAGUUCUACUUCAGAGGAUUAGACUGAUUUAAAUGGUGUUUCUUUUAAACAGAAAUUUGGAAGAAGGGGCAACAUGGAUAUGCCCGCAAGCAGGAGUGAUAAACAGAUCUUCCUCUCUUCAGUCCUUGAGUCAUUUGUUUUGAAAAUAACUGUCUGCUUUGAGUUUUGCACUAGACAAUUGUGAAUUUUAUUACCAUUAUGUGAUCUUUGAGUAAUUUUCUGCAGAGCUAUUUACUGAAAGAUGUGUGCUUUUGCCUUUCUUAACCCCCUUCA